UACAUGCAAGUCAGCGAAGUUUUCUUGUGCUGUCACUAGAAAAACUAAGUACGGCGAACGGGUAGAGUAACACGUAAAGUAACCUGCCUCAUAGACUGGGACAACUAUUGGAAACGAUAGCUAAUACCGGAUAACAGCAUUAACUGCAUGGUUGAUGUUUAAAAGUUGGUUUUGCUAACACUAUGAGAUGGCUUUGCGGUGCAUUAGCUAGUUGGUGGGGUAAAGGCCUACCAAGGCGACGAUGCAUAGCCGACCUGAGAGGGUGAUCGGCCACACUGGGACUGAGACACGGCCCAGACUCCUACGGGAGGCAGCAGUAGGGAAUCUUCCGCAAUGGGCGAAAGCCUGACGGAGCAACGCCGCGUGAGUGAAGAGGGAUUUCGGUUCGUAAAGCUCUGUUGUUAGGGAAGAAUGAUUGUGUAGUAACUAUACACAGUAGAGACGGUACCUAACCAGAAAGCCACGGCUAACUACGUG
rnacentral:rRNA from 1 species